UACGUAGGGAGCAAGCGUUGUUCGGAUUUACUGGGCGUAAAGCGCGCGCAGGCGGCCUCGCGCGCCCGACGUGAAAGCCCCCGGCUUAACCGGGGAGGGUCGUUGGGGACGGCGGGGCUUGAGGGCGGGAGAGGUCGGUGGAAUUCCCGGUGUAGUGGUGAAAUGCGUAGAGAUCGGGAGGAACACCUGUGGCGAAGGCGGCCGACUGGGCCGACCCUGACGCUGAGGCGCGAAGGCGUGGGGAGCGAACGGG
rnacentral:rRNA from 1 species